CCUACGGGAGGCAGCAGUGGGGAAUAUUGCGCAAUGGGCGAAAGCCUGACGCAGCGACGCCGCGUGGGGGAUGAAGGUCUUCGGAUCGUAAACCUCUGUCAGCAGGGAAGAACGGUCACUGUGCUAAUCAGGAGUGAAUUGACGGUACCUGCACAGGAAGCACCGGCUAACUCCGUGCCAGCAGCCGCGGUAAUACGGAGGGUGCGAGCGUUCAUAGGAAUUACUGGGCGUAAAGCGCUCGUAGGCGGUAUGUCAAGUCAAGGGUGAAAUCCCCGCGCUCAACGUGGGAACUGCCUUUGAAACUGGCAAACUUGAGUGUGUGAGAGGAUAGUGGAAUUCCAGGUGUAGGAGUGAAAUCCGUAGAUAUCUGGAGGAACAUCAGUGGCGAAGGCGACUAUCUGGCACAUAACUGACGCUGAGGAGCGAAAGCGUGGGGAGCAAACAGGAUUAGAUACCCGAGUAGUC
rnacentral:rRNA from 1 species